GUUGCGGUGGCCGAGUGGUUAAGGCGUUGGACUUGAAAUCCAAUGGGAUCUUCCCGCGCAGGUUCGAACCCAGAACA
rnacentral:tRNA from 1 species